UGCUCGAGUGGCGAACGGGUGAGUAACACGUGAGUAACCUGCCCUUGACUUUGGGAUAACUUCAGGAAACUGGGGCUAAUACCGGAUAGGAGCUCCUGCUGCAUGGUGGGGGUUGGAAAGUUUCGGCGGUUGGGGAUGGACUCGCGGCUUAUCAGCUUGUUGGUGGGGUAGCGGCUUACCAAGGCUUUGACGGGUAGCCGGCCUGAGAGGGUGACCGGCCACAUUGGGACUGAGAUACGGCCCAG
rnacentral:rRNA from 1 species